CUUCGUGAUGCGGAGAAAAAGCUUACCUCGGCAUUCAGAGGUGCGUAUGAAGGAGGGGGAGGGGGGAGCGCUACAUGCUGCAGUGGGCCAUGUGCUAGCUAGACUUUUUUUUAUCUCCUUUGUGCUGGAUCAUCAUGUUUCACUGAGAGUUUCUUUACUCAAAACGUCCACUGAGGGACGUUUCGCAAAAGUGUCUCGCUGGCAAAAGUUUAUUUCUUUAUUUAUUUGUCGUAACUGGGACGGGGUUCGGUUUUAAAGACCGCCGGAGGACUAAAACCCGGCCUGUUUCCACACCGGAUAAAACGACGUACGUACUAGCGGCGCUAGUUUACGCUAUAGUAAGGAGUGAAACGUCGCGUCAUGCCGUCGGAGGAAAAUAAUCGACGGUAAAUUCGAUUCGACGUGACGUGACGUGACGUGACGUGAUCUCAACGUCGCUUCUUUUCUAAAAACAGCACGUCCUGAAGCGUUUGCAUCCUUCUUCUUCUGUCGCAGCGACCGCAUCCGACAACGACGAAGAUUCCUUUAGUAAAAUACGACAUUCCACUACGUUUUUAUCCGUUUACGGUUGCGUUUAUCGUCGUGGGACUUCAGUGAAACCAGUUUGCUCGCGUUCUCACUUACCUUAUAGCGGCUACGAACGAUCCUUAGCGCUUCAGCCUCUCUUUGUCGCUUUCGUGACGUUAAUAAGAUCAUUAAAAAAAAAAUAAAUAAAAAAAAAUUAAAAAAAGCCGGAAACUACCUAAAAAAACUUGACCUCUGAGCAUUACAAAAAAUGCUGACACUGGAGACUCCUUCCAUACUUUUCAGUGACUUGUAGAUGGAACUACUGUCAGACCUGCCGCUAUAGUAAACGAAUCGAGGACCGACAACCUUCUGACCAAUCACAAUCCAGGACUCAACGGCACCCUGGUACGACGUAGAGCGGCAACAGAAAUGCGUAGAAUGUUUCCCAGAUACUUCGAGGAGUUUCUAAGAGGAUUGGAUUUAUCGAGCGUUGGCGCGAUACUCAGAACUUAGAAAGAUGGAGUGAGGAUAACGGACACUCGCCUGAUAAAUGAGUGCGUCAGGCAGUCUGUGGCUAUGGUGAGAGGUUUGAUAAAGAGGACCCCCACCCUCUCCCAAACCCUCCACCCUUCACAGGCUCAAUAACACUACGGGGAUUUAUUGCCCAAAACAGUAAGCUAAUACUGCAGGCUUUCAGCUCACUGGCUUUAGAUCUGCUAUCUGUCUCCAGCGUCAAGCCGUUGCCAGAUCUGUAAUUAAGACCCGGGCUUUGUUGGCAACCUGAGACUGAGACCUUUUCUAAAGACAGAACCCCAUUUUCCAUGUGAGCAUCCCUUUAAAGAAGCCGAAUGUACAGGGAAAGGUCAGACUCGACGGCAAACUUCUUCCCGUUCGAUUUUUUUUUUUUUUCCGCGACCGGUCCAGCGCGUGCGAUUCAUUAAUCGCCGUUCUACUCGGAUGGAAUAUUUACCGAGGAUACGCGGCACAAAGGAGCUCAUCCUGCUUCGCGUCGUCCUGCCCGCUAGGCUACAGUCUGGCAACUCAUCGGAUUAAAAAAAAGAAGAAAAGAAAAAAGAGAGAGAAGAAAACAAAACCAUGAAUUGUUGGAAGAAGAAAAAAAAAAAAAAAAGCGGAGACUCGUGUCGCUCAUCGAACAGCAGAAAGGAUCCGUGGUGAAUUUUUUCGACGAUUUCCGUCCUGUGCUGUGGAUACCGUGACGGACGGCCCUGCGGUUUUCCUGCUUAGAUUUUUUCCCCCCGAUUGGCACUCCUGUACAUAGUUUCAUUUCUGAAUUUCCAUUUGUGUGUGGCCUUCUAGGCAGUGCAGCAUAUGGUACUGGGUAGGAAAGACUGAAGAAGCGUUUUUCUUUUCUUUUCUUUUCUUUCCGUGAAUGUUAUUGCAGCAGGUUUAGCUGUAGCUGGUGCAGUAUGGAUCAGACCAGACGAGCGGAUUUCUCUUUACCGUAUAGCGUAGGAUUUUCAGAGCUGAGGAAACGGACAACCUGACCUCUGACCUCAGCUCAUCGGUGGUGAAUUAACCAUGUCAAGAGGGCCAUCCUCAGGGUGCUUGUGAGACGUCCUCGAGGACCCAGCCCAGAGAACACAGCUAACCAAACACACAUCUCAGAGCUACACUGGUAAGUACCAGUGACGUCAUAAAUUCCUGUGAGACACAUGCUGAUAAGCGGGCAUGCAGCAGACUGCGAUAUUCAUCUUGCACAUUUUUGUUAGUGUGGACUUGUCAGAUAUCAUCACUGCUAUAAAGACUGAGGCUGCCUAGGCAUGUUAGGGAUGGGAGAAUAAGGAGAGCCAUCAUGUACAAUGUUAGAAAAACUAAAAAUGGUUCCUCAAGAUGAUUCUCUUAGGAUAGAUAGCCCAAGAGCUCGGCAUUUAUUUAUUUAUUUUUCUGAAAGGGAACUCCUCUAUUUUAGCGACUGACUGAAGAACCCUUUAGGGCGUUGGAUGGAACUACAUGGUUCCCUACUUUGGGUGAGAAAUAAGAGUAAACACUUUCAAAGUUCUCUGAGGGUUCUUUUAACAGUUCUAGUUCUGUAAAGAAGCUUUACAAGUCGUUGUUUUCUUUUUCCUGAGAGAGAUCCUCCGUAUAGCCCUUAUGAGGUUCCCCUGAAGGAAUAAUCUGAAGAACUCAGGUUCCUUUAUUUGGAAAACAUAAACGCCUUUUAGGGGGUUCCCCUAGAGGAACAACCUGAAGAACUUCCUUAAGGGGUUCCUUAUUGUGUAAGAAUAAAUAAGUAAAUAAAUAAAUAAAUGUAGGGAUCUACGUAAACCCAUUGAGGGGGUUCCCCCUAGAGGAGCAAAAUUAGAUUCAUUUCUUUGGGGGGGGGGUUUAGAUCUCAAGGAUUCUUAGCAAGUGUAAGAUCCAAGCUUCCUGUAGAGGAAAGUUCUCUGUUCUGGGGUUCUCCACGGACCAUUUUUAAGCGUGAAAGCUCUUCCAAAAGCGUGCUGGAAAAGUUCUUUGAAUGUUUCUUUGAACGCUCUACAAAGGGCUGUACUUGGAAACUUUAGGGUGAAUUUGUACUAUUUACACACACCAUGGAGAUAGAGGCCUAUAUAUACAUGAUUCUGCGGAGGACCAGUCCGGAGAACCUCAGCCCGUCACGCUAAGUGAUCUGCUGCCAAAUAAGAUCUCUCGCUGUGAACCAGUGACCGUUGAAAUAUGUGACAUGCCUCCAUUUCUAAUUCUUUGCUGAGAGAUUUAUGCUGUGUGCUUCCAGUGUGUUCUUUGAGCGAGGCCAGUGCUAAUCAGGAAGGAAGAAUUCAGUUCCACCAUGCGUCUCAGCAUGUCUGGGACAUUCAACACGGUUAUAAACCUUUCUCUGCGUACCCACGUUCACACUGUUCGGGUCGAUGUUUGUUUGUUCGGAAGUAUACCGAUAGCCAAACCGCCAUGCGAAUAUUGUCGUCCUUCGCCAGGAUUUGGAUAUCAUUUUGUCCUGUACUGAAGAUGGACCGACGUCCUAUGUCUCACUGUAUCAGAGGGAAGUAAUUGUAGCGUAAUCCUGGCCUCAUGUAAUGAAGCUUCUGACUCAAUAAUGCUAGCUAUCAUGGAGAUAUUGGAGGAAACAUUUCAGAAUGUCCUGAUGUCCUUCGCCGUCACGCAAAGUGGGUGAGAUCCAUUCCAGUCAGGGGGAAUGAAGUGAACAAGUGGAAGCGUCUGUCAGCCUGAUCAGACCGGCCACUUUGCAGACAGGAUUAAAAAUCAUUUAGAGUUCACUGACUGAGAGACAUGUGGUUGGUUUUCUGUGAAACAAAAGACACUGAGCUGAUUGGAAAUGGUCUCUAUCAUCAAAUUAGUGGGACAAUGGACAGUUUGUCCUCCCGCCUGGUCCGUCGCUCACUCUUGCUCAUCGUUUUGCACACAGAUUGCUUUUCACGUUCCUCAGUAGUUCUUUGAGGGUUCUUUGAAUCCUUUUUUUUUAACCCUUGAAAUAGAUAUCCUCUGUUGUACUGUAGGGUUUUACAUAAACAUGUUAACGUCUCCCCUAGUGGAACAACCCGUAGAACUCUUACAACUUGUAGAUGUUCUAUUGUGGUUUUUUUGUUGUUGAUUUUUUGCAGUUAAAGUGCUACCUAAUGUGCCUAAAAAGAUUUUAUUCACUAUCUAGCUAUAAAGGGUAGUGAUGUAAAUACCUGUACUUGGUUUCCAUGUUUAUCAGAAUAUCAGGGUUCUUUUUUCCUGAAAAACAAAACAAAACAAAACAGUUUGUCUAGAGUUCUUUGGAUGGGUAUUGGGUUGUACUUCAACGAUGUAGGUUCUCUCGCUCUUAUAAGUUCUACGUAGAACCUUCAAGAAUUCCCCUGAAAGAACAACUUGGGCUGCAACAACUUAUUGAUAAAAAUCGAUCAUAAUCGAUAAAUAAAAUAAUAAUUAUGGAUAAUUCGGGUCUGUGACGUCACUGUGGAGACUGUGUUAGGUUAGGUUAGACCUAAUCCAAACCCAUACCCUAAUCCAUACCCAUACCCUAACCCAAACCCAUACCCAAACCCAUACACAAACCCAAACCCAUACCCUAAUCCAUACCCGUACCCUGACCAAAACCCAUACCCUAACCCAUACCCUAAUCCAUACCCAUACCCUAACCCAAACCCAUACCCUAACCCAUACCCUAACCCAAACCCAUACCCUAACCCAUAGCCUAACCCAUACCCUAAUCCAUACCCAUACCCUAACCCAAACCCAUACCCUAAUCCAUACCCAUACCCAAACCCAAACCCAUACCCUAACCCAUACCCUAAUCCAUACCCAUACCCUAACCCAUACCCUAAUCCAUACCCAUACCCUAACCCAUACCCUAAUCCAUACCCAUACCCUAACCCAAACCCAUACCCUAACCCUAGCGUUUUUAAUGCUUUAAAGCUUGUGGACAAUCAGUUGUUUUAUUUUGUUUUUGUUUUCAAAAUAUAAAGUUUUUUUUUUAAAGGCAAAAAAAAUUGUAAUCCGAAUUAAUCGAUCGAUCGGAGAAAUAAUCGACAGAUUAAUCGAUCAUUAAAAUAAUCGUUCGUUGCAGCCCUUAAUUGAGGAAACCCAUAGGGUCCUGUAUGAUUUUAAUGUGUCUUUCGGUUCUUGCUGGUCGCAUCUCAUCACAUCCAAUCAGAUAGCGCACACCAGGGGUGUCUGAUCUUAUCUGCAAAGUGCCAGUGUGGCUGCUAGUUCUCAUUCUGGUCAGUCAAAAGCCAUACCUGAUUCUACCUGUUGAUCGUAGCCUUCAGAUAGUCAACUAUCAGCUGCGACUCCUGCUUGGUUGAAACAAAACCUGCUGCCACACUGGAUAAGAUCAGACACCCGUGGCAUAGGCAGAUUGUAGCAGCUCUGGUUGGAGCAUCAGUGCAGCGCAAUGGCAGCGUGUGUACUAUUGCUGCCUCUCAACUCCAGAAUCCCUGGUUCAAUCAUGAGCUUGGGCUGCUGUUAGUUUCCUCCAGGUUCUUCAGGUUCCCUCCGUCUCUGAUUGGUCGUUUGGCUCUGUAAAUUGCCUUGGGGUCCUAUCCAGGGUGUAUUCCCACCUUGGGAUUGGCUAUGGCUAUCCACCACAUCCCUAACCAGGACAGAGCACUUAUUAGAAAUGAAUAAAUGAAAGAAAUCAUGUCUUGUGGAAUCGCAGUGUCUUUUGACUGGCAGGAACUUCUCAUGAUAUAUCGCUUGCCUGCGACUUGAACGAACAUUUUUAAUCUCUGAAAGGGUGGAAUACCUCAUGUAGCUCCAUGUAAUCUCUUAAACUAGGACACGCGAACAAAUCCAUGUAUUGCGCAAUUGUUUGUUGGACUUCUGAGAAAUUGUUCAUGCUGUGUUCUUCGAGCUGUGCAGUGAGGCGUGUACUCGAGCUAACAAGCAGCAACAUUUCAGAUUUCCCCUCAAAGCUGAUUGGCUCAGUGCCAACAUUCUGGUCAAUUGAACAUGUUGAAUACAUGACUGAGACAACAAGCAUGUGUUCGAGUACUCUCAUUCCCCGAAAUGAAUUUAUAUAGUCUGUUUGGGUUCUCAAAAAAAAAAAAAAAAAAACUACUGACAACAAGUCAUGCUUGUGUGGCUAACAUCUGAAUGAAAAUGCUAUGAAAAUGCCAGGUUUAAAUGUGAGGUGAUGUCACUUUGUGUACAUUGCAGGGCUCGACAUUAACGCGUGUCCACUUGUACAGGGCAAGUGAAUUUAAGACAGUUUUCUCCUUGAGCGCCAUCAAGUCGUCCUUUUAUGUAACUUCAGCGCUUCCGGGCACGUGAACAAAAGCGCGAAUCUCAUUGGUCGGCCAGUUUUUGACGUGGCGCGUCAAAAAAAACUCUAACCCCUCGACAUUAAAAAAAUUUGACGCUCUGGGAGUGAGCACUCCCAUUGACAGCCUUUGGGGCGUUAAACUGACUGUUGUGAAUAGGGCUUACAGUGUAAUGAGCUGAUAGAACACUGAUGUGAGUAUAUUACUUCUAAAUAAUUAUAUUUACACCACCAUUUUUUCCCCCUUUUUUUAACAAAUUUACUUGUCCGAAGGACAACCACAUGACAGUGCUGCAUUCUAUACAGCCCUGAAUACAAUACAGCUCUGUGCUGCCCUUCCUUCAGUUAUGUCAAAGUAUUUCCACAUGUCACUGGCCAUUUUCGAAGCUAUAAGAUUGCUAGCUUGUGGUAUAGCUCUGGUCAAGAAUAAGAGGCUCUAAAUGUUCUUGUAACUGACUCUGAGAUUAUUGCCUGUCUUUGUAGACUGUAAGUUUCUGCCUCCAUAGUUACUGUAACCAAUCAGAUUUCCUUUCUAGGCCACAAUGCCUCUGUAACCAUCUGAGCAGCAGUUUGUGUCCACUGCUGUAACCACAGCUCCUACUCACAAUGGCAUUGAAACUAAUAGCAACACAAAGCUACUGUAAACAGUCAUAUUGCAGUUCCUGCCCCAAAGACCAAUGUACCCAAUCAGACUGCAGUUCCUGCCCCAAAGACCAAUGUACCCAAUCAGACUGCAGUUCCUGCCCAAAAGACCAAUGUACCCAGUCAGACUGCAGUUCCUGCCCAAAAGACCAAUGUACCCAGUCAGACUGCAGUUCCUGCCCAAAAGACCAAUGUACCCAGUCAGACUGCAGUUCCUGCCCAAAAGACCAAUGUACCCAGUCAGACUGCAGUUCCUGCCCAAAAGACCAAUGUACCCAAUCAGACUGCGUAUCCUACCCCAAAGACCAAUGUACCCAAUCAGACUGCGUUUCCUGCCCAAAAGACCAAUGUACCCAAUCAGACUGCAGUUCCUGCCCAAAAGACCAAUGUACCCAAUCAGACUGCAGUUCCUGCCCAAAAGACCAAUGUACCCAAUCAGACUGCGUAUCCUACCCCAAAGACCAAUGUACCCAAUCAGACUGCAGUUCCUGCCCCAAAGACCAAUGUGCCCAAUCAGACUGUGGUUGCUUCCCAAAAGACCAAUGUACCCAAAUAAAGCUUUUAUUUGUUGCAUACAUUACAGUAUAGUGAACAUCUGUUCUUUGCAUAUCCUAGCUUGUUAGGAAGUUGGGGUCAGAGAGGCAGGGCAGCUCCUGGAGCUGGUAGGGUCAUACUCAAGGGCCCAACCGUGUCAACUCGGUGGUUCUGGGGCUUGAAUGUCCGAUCUUCUGAUCAGUAACCCAGAGCCUUAACUACCGAGCCACCCUUGCUUACCCAUAAGAAUUCUGUAACCAAAUUGCCACUGUAUCCAAUGAGACUGCAGGUCCUGUUGAACUGCCAUUGUAACCAAUCAGAUCUAUAGUUUCUGUCUAAAAUGCCACUGUUACCAAUUAGACCGCAGAAAGCAACGUUUGGUAAAAAUGUAAUAAACAAAUGUGGAAGACUUACACAUAAGCAAAUGAAUAAAUGAUUACGGUUUCACACAAUUUCUGCAUGGUCAUGACUCUGAUCAUUGAAUUCUUGUGUCGUUUUUGUAGUCUGUAAUUUUUUUUUUUACAUGUAUUUUUGAAGCUCAUAACUUAUGACCAGUCAAGUCUAGUUCAAAUCGGAUUAUUCUGAAGCGGCUCUGUCGAGUUAAUGUUUUAUACGUCACGGAAACCUCUCUAGACUCAUGUAGAGACUCGUUUCAUAUAUAAACUCGUGUCAGUAUAGAAACCAGAGUCAGAUGUGACUGUGAGACGUUUUCCACGUAGGGAGUUGGGAGGUGGGUGGGGGUGGGGGUGCGGUCAGAAACCCCACAUUAGGAGGUGUGUUUGUGGUGCGACGUGAAGGGAGUGCGGGCUUAACACUGAUGUUAUAGUCAUCAGGGCCUCACAAUCCAGAUUUAGACGCAAGACGCGUCUGUUUCUCGGAGGUUGGGGGAUGGGGAGGGAACUGCAGGAACGAUGUUGCAGACCGUCGCUCAUUUACAGCCGAACAUUCUUAACACCUCAUAAAUGUAACUUGCCACCAGGACUCCAGAACCCCCAAGCUCCCAGCAUGCCAAGCUCGAGUCGAGCGUAUAGCCUUUCUAUACGCGUCCCCCCAGUAAUAAAAAGACACGAUAAUGGUCUGAUCCGUCGAUCAUAGAUUACAGGACAUGGUUAUGGGAGGAAUGACUUAGCAUGCGAGCUGCGUUAGCACAGAGAAAGUACAGAGUACUUCCGCCUUCUUAUACAGAAUACAUAAAGAAAGUCUGAACUAAACUUCAUAAUGAGAGAUAUGAUAAUAUCAUGUCCAUAUUGCUAUAUUAACAUCAUAAUACUCUUCUGCGUAUUCUUUUAUUUGUAUAUAUCUUCAGGUGGCAGCGUUUUUUCAAACUCACCGUUUUACUAUUCACCCUUACUUAGUUAAAUACUUUCUUUCUUUUCUUUUUUUUUGUAAGAAUUGAAUUGAAACAAUCUUUGAACUUAUGGAUUUAAAAACAAAAACGAAAUACCACCGGACAUGCAGUCUGAUAGGUAACAUACAGUCCCCUCUGAAAGUAUUGGCACCCUGCGAGGGGACCGUAGCAGCACGACGUCGGGGUCCCAGACGAAGUCCAAUACACUUCCUCUAGGUCAUUUAGUUUAUAGGUGACCUCCCAUGUUUGUGUUUUGAUUUUGAUUUUAUUUUAUUUUAAUUUUUUCCAUUAUCCCCCGGCUCUCGGUUAGCGUUUGUGAGUCUCGUCUUGUCUUGUACGACUGAAAAUAACUGCCCCCCGGGGGGCAUCGCCAAGAUGGCCGCUGAGUGAACUUUGGACAAAGACUCUUGUAGUGUGUUUUUAUUCAUUUAUUUGUUUGUUCAUUUUCGAGGAUGAAUUUUGACACUAUCCUGUCAUUGUGAGGGCGUUCAGUCCUUUUUGGUCCUCACGAACAGCUAAGUAUUUGUACACACACACACACACACACACACAUGUUGAAGAAGACCCUUCCAUCCUGCCAGACUCUUUGCCUACCACUGUUAGUGUGUGUGUGUGUGUGUGUGUGUGUGUGUGUGUGUGUGUGUGUGUGUGUGUGUGUGUGUACAUAUGUGUUCUAUAUCUCCUUUCUUUCUUUUCUAUUCAUUCUUUUAUACAGUCACCAGUGGAAGUUUCAGGCCAUGCUAUUUUUAACAUAACG
ensembl:lncRNA